rnacentral:rRNA from 1 species
UGGGCGAAAGCCUGAUCCAGCCAUGCCGCGUGCGUGAAGAAGGUCUUCGGAUUGUAAAGCACUUUCGGGAGGGAGGAAAGGUGUUAUGUUAAUACCAUAAUACUGUGACGCUACCUCCAUAAGAAGCACCGGCUAACUCUGUGCCAGCAGCCGCGGUAAUACAGAGGGUGCAAGCGUUAGUCGGAAUGACUGGGCGUAAAGGGCGUGCAGGUGGAUACAUAAGUCAAAGGUGAAAUCCCCGGGCUUAACCUGGGAACUGCCUGUGAAACUGUGAAUCUAGAGUAUGGGAGAGGGAAGUGGAAUUUCCGGUGUAGCGGUGAAAUGCGUAGAUAUCGGAAGGAACACCAGUGGCGAAGGCGACUUCCUGGCCUAAUACUGACACUGAGGCGCGAAAGCGUGGGGAGCAAACAGGAUUAGAUACCCUGGUAGUCCACGCCGUAAACGAUGAGAACUGGAUGUUGGGUACAUUACGGUACUCAGUGUCGAAGCUAACGCGUUAAGUUCGCCGCCUGGGGAGUACGGUCGCAAGACUGAAACUCAAAGGAAUUGACGGAAUCACUAGUG